CAGCAAGUCGUUCUCGGUGACGGAACAAAAGAACAAAGAAUCAGUUCUCCUGCGUUGCGACGUUUUGAACACGCAGUGCGUGAGUUCAGCCGUUCGGGUCGUGCCCAUUGCAUGCUGGGAAUGGAGUUCGCGUGACCCGGAUAUGUCCACCGAAGAUGAUGGGACCCACGUUGUACGUUCAGAUCGGGUCUGGAUUUGGCGUUUCAGGACGUUAAGUUUGCCCCGCUUGUAAUACCGCUUAGGUAUGCGUGACAGGCAUUCAGUUCAACUACGAAAACAAACUGAAGCCCUAUCGUUUCUCACCCGUUUAUGGUCUUGCUGUGGCUCUGACUGCUGGCGCACCACCUUCCUUCCUCCUGCACCUCCCCGCACCAAGAGCUAAGGUAGGUGGUGGCCCACUCACUUGGUUACUAAUACACAGUGGCAUCAGCUGACUGCUGACAAGUCCUUGAGCAGUGUGAAAUGGGACGGACAUCAAAGGACAAGCGGGAUGUCUACUACCGUCUGGCCAAGGAGAAUGGCUGGCGGGCCCGCAGUGCCUUCAAGCUGUUACAACUCGAUGAAGAAUUCCAGCUCUUCCAAGGUGUGACACGGGCAGUUGAUCUAUGUGCAGCCCCGGGCAGCUGGAGCCAGGUGCUAAGCCAGAAGAUUGGGAGCCAGGGGUCUGGACAAGUUGUGGCUGUGGAUCUGCAGGCUAUGGCUCCACUACCAGGUGUGGUACAGAUCCAGGGAGACAUCACCCAGCUUUCCACUGCCAAGGAGAUCAUCCAGCACUUUGAGGGCUGCCCUGCGGACCUAGUGGUGUGCGAUGGGGCUCCCGACGUUACUGGCCUCCAUGAUGUGGAUGAGUACAUGCAGGCCCAGCUCCUCCUAGCCGCUCUGAACAUUGCUACACAUGUCUUGAAGCCAGGGGGCUGCUUUGUGGCCAAGAUAUUCCGAGGGCGGGAUGUGACGCUGCUUUAUAGCCAGCUGCGGGUCUUCUUCUCCAAUGUGCUCUGUGCCAAGCCCAGGAGCAGCCGGAACUCCAGCAUUGAGGCCUUCGCUGUCUGUCAGGGUUAUGACCCUCCUGAGGGCUUUGUACCAGACCUGACCAGACCCCUGCUGGACCAUUCGUACGACUCAGAUUUCAACCAAUUGGAUGGUCCCACCCGCAUCAUUGUGCCUUUUGUGACCUGUGGGGACCUGAGUGCUUAUGAUUCGGAUCGCAGUUACCCACUGGAUCUGGAAGAUGGCUCCGAGUACAAGUAUACUCCACCCACACAACCCCCCAUUUCACCCCCAUACCAGGAGGCCUGCACAUUGAAGAAGAAGGGGCAGCUGGCCAAGGAGAUCCGUCCCCAGGACUGCCCCAUCAGCAAAGUGGACACAUUAUCCCAGCCCCUGGCCAACCCUCAGUGCCACAGCCUGCUGGGCUCUGAGAUGGAAGACAAUGAAAUGAAUUAUUCGUCUUAACACAGUAUAAGGACUGGGACCAAGUACAGUGGCUCACAUCUUUAAUCCCAUCUACUAGGGAGGCUAAGGAGAAUUCCUCCUGAGCUGCUGGGAUUACUGGCGUGCAUCACUGUGCCCAGCAUCUUAACUGUUCUGAAGAGUACACUUCAGUGACAACUUUUUUCAUCUUUCCAAAUUAACUGACUUCCCUUAAACCCUAAUGCCCCUAACUUGUGGUUUUCCUGCCUCAGCCUCCUGAGCCACUAGGAUUAUAGGCAUGUGCUACCAUGCCUGGCAAAAUUACUAUUUUUGAAAUUAAGAUUUUUAUGGAUAUUGUAUGUUCAUAGUAGCACCCCAUUAAAUCGUGGUCUAUUCACAGUAGAGAACUACACAGCAAUAAAAUGAGCAUCCUGUAAUUAUACAAAAUAACACCUUAACAGUUAAUAAACUGAACAUAUGUUUUAUGCAUUUUUCUGAAAGUUACUAAAAAAAAAUAUUAGCAGCUUAGUGAACAAUGAUUAUAGUAAAAGAAAAAUGGGAACUUUCUUCUUUUCCACGAUGCUGGGAAUUGAACACAUCAUCAUCACUUGCUAGUUAGCUGGCAAGCUGAUACAACUUAGAAGCUGCUGCCUGUCAGGAAAAACAGAACUUGAGUCGAUGAACUUGUAUUCAAACAUCAGCAAGACUUGAACAGACAAGCCUGGUGUGGAAAUCUACAAUAACCUCCACAAGGACAACAAAGACAGAACUAGUGCAGAAGUCUGCUGCAAUAGAGUAGAACUUUCUUGAACUUGCGUGAGACCUACCUCUUCUCUAAACCUCUCUCGGGGUGUCCAGAACUUCCCCUGAAAGCAGGAAUUUUACCUGGAUAGAUGUCAGGUGUAUCCAAUGUACUUGAUGGAGGAAACUAUUACAUCUUUAUUUUCAAUAAAACUGAAAUUUAGUUUUACUCCCAGUUAUGAAUGCUGCCCACAAAUCACAACAGUAAAAGUGGUACCUGCAAUUUUCCCAUCAAUGCAAGUCAGUUAUUUUUUGUUUCAUUACAGUUGUUACAGACAUCUUAAAAUAUUAUUCACAUUCUUUACCACUUUGGAUGACAACAGAUCUUAUAAUUUGAUGUUCUAAUAAAAAUCCAGUUGUUACAUCCCAA